UAGGGAAUCUUCCACAAUGGACGAAAGUUUGAUGGAGCAACGCCGCGUGAGUGAAGAAGGGUUUCGGCUCGUAAAACUCUGUUGUUAAAGAAGAACAUAUCUGAGAGUAACUGUUCAGGUAUUGACGGUAUUUAACCAGAAAGCCACGGCUAACUACGUGCCAA
rnacentral:rRNA from 1 species